rnacentral:rRNA from 1 species
UGGGGAAUAUUGCACAAUGGGCGCAAGCCUGAUGCAGCCAUGUCGCGUGUGUGAAGAAGGCCUUCGGGUUGUAAAGCACUUUCAGCGGGGAGGAAGGCGUUAAGGUUAAUAACCUUGGCGAUUGACGUUACCCGCAGAAGAAGCACCGGCUAACUCCGUGCCAGCAGCCGCGGUAAUACGGAGGGUGCAAGCGUUAAUCGGAAUUACUGGGCGUAAAGCGCACGCAGGCGGUUUGUUAAGUCAGAUGUGAAAUCCCCGGGCUCAACCUGGGAACUGCAUCUGAUACUGGCAAGCUUGAGUCUCGUAGAGGGGGGUAGAAUUCCAGGUGUAGCGGUGAAAUGCGUAGAGAUCUGGAGGAAUACCGGUGGCGAAGGCGGCCCCCUGGACGAAGACUGACGCUCAGGUGCGAAAGCGUGGGGAGCAAACAGG